rnacentral:misc_RNA from 1 species
UUGUGGAGGAGGACGCCGAAGGUGGGGCUAAUGACUGGGGUGAAGUCGUAACAAGGUAGCCGUACCGGAAGGUGCGGCUGGAUCACCUCCUAACAGGGAGACAACAAAAUGUAAAUAUUAAUUUUGUCACCUUAGGUCGAUCGGUAUCUCAGAUUCUUAAUUUUUAAGAAUUUCGGUUUCUAAGUUUUUUCUAGGUCACACCCAUCACUUUUUCCUGGGCCAUUAGCUCAGGUGGUUAGAGCGCACCCCUGAUAAGGGUGAGGUCCCUGGUUCAAGUCCAGGAUGGCCCAUAUCUCUAUGUUGGGGGUAUAGCUCAGUUGGUAGAGCGCCUGCUUUGCAAGCAGGAUGUCAGCGGUUCGAGUCCGCUUACCUCCACUGAAUACCACCUCUUACAUAUUUUAAAGAGGGAGAUUGUUUUGAGUUGUGUUCUAUUUUGCUCUGAGCGAAUCUAGUUUCCUAUUUUUAUUUUUUAAAUAAGAUGCUGGACUCAUUGAAUUAUUAUUCAUUGUUUUCAGAGAACCUUGACAACUGCAUAGAUUUUUUUUGAAGACAAUAAGCAUCUUUAAUGAUGCAGAUUUAUUAUUUGUGCGAAUGCAUUAAAUAACAAUUCUAUUAAGCUGAUGCUUCAAUAUUAUUGAAGUUAUUGGUCAAGCUACAA